rnacentral:rRNA from 1 species
UACGUAGGUGGCAAGCGUUGUCCGGAUUUACUGGGCGUAAAGAGCGCGCAGGCGGUCAUUCAAGUCGCGUGUGAAAGCCCCCGGCUCAACUGGGGAGGGUCACGCGAUACUGAUCGACUCGAAAGGCAGGAGAGGGAAGUGGAAUUCCCCGGGUGUAGUGGUGAAAUGCGUAGAUAUCGGGAGGAACACCAGUGGCGAAGGCGACUACCUGGCCUGUUCUUGACGCUGAGGCGCGAAAGCUAGGGGAGCAAACGGG